UACGUAGGGUGCAAGCGUUGUCCGGAAUUAUUGGGCGUAAAGAGCUCGUAGGCGGUUCGUCGCGUCGGCUGUGAAAACCCGGAGCUCAACUCCGGGCCUGCAGUCGAUACGGGCGGACUUGAGUUCGGCAGGGGAGACUGGAAUUCCUGGUGUAGCGGUGAAAUGCGCAGAUAUCAGGAGGAACACCGGUGGCGAAGGCGGUUCUCUGGGCAUGUCCUGACGCUGAGGAGCGAAAGUGUGGGGAGCGAACAGG
rnacentral:rRNA from 1 species